AUGGCUUUGGUCCAACGAUUUGGAAAACCAGAUAUAUUUCUUACAAUGACAUGCAAUCCAAAUUGGGAAGAGAUAAUAAAAGAGUUGGAACCAGGCCAGUUACCACAAGAUCGACCAGAUUUAGUGGCACGAGUCUUUAAGGCUAAACUAGAGGAUCUUAAGGACCUUAUAUUCAAGAAGAAUUUUUUUGGUGAAGUUGCCGCUCAUGUUCAUGUGAUUGAGUUUCAGAAGAGAGGGCUA
rnacentral:rRNA from 1 species